rnacentral:lncRNA from 1 species
UUCCACCUCGAUCUUUCAAAGAGCUGGGAUGAGAGAUUUCCACCAUGCCUGGCCUCAUUUUCUUUUUUAAUUUUUUUUUAGACAUUAUAGCUCUUUUUAAUGGCCUCAUUUUCUUAUGUUUAAUUCGAGAAUUAUUCUUUUCAUAUACAAAGAAUAUAUUUUCUCCACCUUUAAAAACAAAUAGUAGACUGUUUAACAUCUCGCUUUAUUCAGUUAGUGAUGUUUCUUAGAUACGGGUCCAAAUUAG